rnacentral:lncRNA from 1 species
UGAAAUUUGGAUAGCUUGGUUUGAUUUUCGGUGGAGGUUGGAAAUUGGUGGGUCCUUCUCUGUUUGGUUGUGUUUCGGUGUUAUGGAGGAUUGAUGGGGAUAAAUUGAAAGGUGUUGGAACAAACGGGUAGUAGUGUUUGGGUUGGUUACAGAUAAAAAAAGAAGAAGGGUGGAGGUGUGUGUUAGGAGAUGAUGAGUUAAGAAAAAUUGAUGAGGUUGAAGAUGACGGUAGAAGAUGAUGAUUGCAGAGGGAUCCGUUUUGGGUUGGACAGAAAGGGGUGGAUACCCUUUUCUUUUUCCUCCCCCCAUUUUUCUGUAUGUGUCCCCAUAUAUAUAAGACCGUGAAGAUCUUCAAUCAACAAACAUGAAUACUGAAAACCUGGAAAAGAAACCCCACCAAAAACAAUGACUGUUGCAAACUUAAUCAUCUUCCAAUUCCUUCCAAAAAUAGCGUUUCAAUCCCUUUCAACUAUUGAUUGGCU